rnacentral:rRNA from 1 species
AAUAUUGUAAAACGGUGGCAACCCUGAUCCAGCCAUGCCGCGGGUGUGAAGAAGGUCUUCGGAUUGUAAAGCACUUUAAUUUGGGAGGAAGGGCUUUAGGUUAAUACCCUGAAGUUUUGACGUUACCAACAGAAUAAGCACCGACUAACUCUGUGCCAGCAGCCGCGGUAAUACAGAGGGUGCAAGCGUUAAUCGGAAUUACUGGGCGUAAAGCGCGCGUAGGUGGUUCAGUAAGAUGGGUGUGAAAUCCCCGGGCUUAACCUGGGAACUGCUUUCAUAACUGCUGAGCUAGAGUACGGUAGAGGGUAGUGGAAUUUCCAGUGUAGCGGUGAAAUGCGUAGAUAUAGGAAGGAACACCAGUGGCGAAGGCGACUACCUGGACUGAUACUGACACUGAGGUGCGAAAGCGUGGGGAGCAAAC